UCCGAAUUGGUGUAGUGGCUAACAUUUGACGCUCUCAUAAUGUCUCAUGGUACAACAUGAUACAAGCACAGUGCCGUCAAGCCCGGGGUUCGAUUCCCCGAUUCGGAG